UUACGACUUCAUAAAUUUGUCCCAGCAGGCUGAGGAUUGGACUGUCAACACUUAGUGGUGAAAAAGCAAGUGGUGAAAAGGCAGAGAUCUACUUCAUAUUCCAAUAAAACUACAGACGUCUAAGGCAUGUGUGGCUGGUUAUACUCAAGACUGCUGUCUCCACAAGCUCAAUAACUGUACUUGAAUGCUGUAAGGAUUAAGACAAUGCAUUUUCAAAAACAAGACAUGAAGAUUGCCUGGUGCUCUCUAAUCAUGCAACUCUGCACAAUGAGGUCCAUGCAGGCCACAAACUCCACUUCCCAGAAUACACCGCGACUUACUAAGAUAGCCGCUCCGAACUACCUUCCCCCAGAAACCACAACAGCUUCUCUGCUCCCAAACACCGGG
ensembl:lncRNA